CUAUUUACCUGGACGGGGUCAAUGGGUGAUCAUGAAGAUCCAUGGCCUAUGCCGUUGACUUUUAUUGCACUUUGAAAGGGCAUUGGUUUAAGGUCCGCUCAUGUAGUGGAGCUUACGUCAUAAUUUGCGACAGUGGGGGCUUGUGUUCGCGCGGCCCCUUA